GAUAAAAUGGCCGAGUGUUGAGGUGGUGGUUUGUAGCUCCAUUAACAGAGGUUUAAGUCCUCUUUUUAUCA
rnacentral:tRNA from 1 species